rnacentral:rRNA from 1 species
AUUGAACGCUGGCGGCAGGCCUAACACAUGUAAGUCGAACGAGUGGCGGACGGGUGAGUAAUGUCUGGGAAACUGCCCGAUGGAGGGGGAUAACUACUGGAAACGGUAGCUAAUACCGCAUACCAUCGGAUGUGCCCAGAUGGGCUUCGCGAGUGGGUGGGGUAACGGCUCACCUAGGCGACGAUCCCUAGCUGGUCUCAGAGGAUGACCAGCCACACUGGAACGGGAACACGGUCCAGACUCCUACGGGAGGCAGCAGUGGGGAAUAUUGCACAAUGGGCGAAAGCCUGAUGCAGCCAUGCCGCGUGUAUGAAGAAGGCCUUCGGGUUGUAAAGUACUUUCAGCGGGGAGGCGUUACCCGCAGAAGAAGCACCGGCUAACUCCGUGCCAGCAGCCGCGGUAAUUC